UACAGAGGGGGCAAGCGUUAUUCGGAAUUAUUGGGCGUAAAGGGCGCGUAGGCGGCCUGGCAAGUGGAAGGUGAAAUCCCUCGGCUUAACCGAGGAACUGCCCUCCAAACUGCUUGGCUUGAGUCCGGGAGAGGUGAGUGGAAUUCCCAGUGUAGCGGUGAAAUGCGUAGAUAUUGGGAGGAACACCAGUGGCGAAGGCAGCUCGCUGGGACGUCACUGACGCUGAGACGCGAAAGCGUGGGGAGCAAACAGG
rnacentral:rRNA from 1 species